AUUGAACGCUGGCGGCACGCUUUACACAUGCCAGUCGAACGGCAGCGCGGGGCAACCUGGCGGCGAGUGGCGAACGGGUGAGUAAUAUAUCGGAACGUACCCAGAAGUGGGGGAUAACGUAGCGAAAGUUACGCUAAUACCGCAUACGAUCUACGGAUGAAAGUAGGGGACCGCAAGGCCUUAUGCUUUUGGAGCGGCCGAUAUCUGAUUAGCUAGUUGGUGAGGUAAAGGCUCACCAAGGCGACGAUCAGUAGCUGGUCUGAGAGGACGACCAGCCACACUGGAACUGAGACACGGUCCAGACUCCUACGGGAGGCAGCAGUGGGGAAUUUUGGACAAUGGGCGCAAGCCUGAUCCAGCAAUGCCGCGUGAGUGAAGAAGGCCUUCGGGUUGUAAAGCUCUUUUGUCAGGGAAGAAACGGUAGAGGCUAAUAUCCUUUGCUAAUGACGGUACCUGAAGAAUAAGCACCGGCUAACUACGUG
rnacentral:rRNA from 1 species